GGACCAGACGGCUAUUGGAAUUCGACUAAGCCAUGCGAGUUUUUUCGCAAGAAAGGCAUACUGCUGAGUAACACGUGGAUAAUCUACCCUUAGGUGGGGUAUAACCUCGGGAAACUGAGGCUAAUCCCCCAUAGGUUCUUGACACUGGAAUGUACUUGAACCCAAAGCUCCGGCGCCUAAGGAUGAGUCUGCGGCUAAUCAGGUUGUUGGCGGGGUAACGGCCCACCAAGCCUUUGACUAGUAGGGGCAAUGAGAGUUGGAGCCCCCAGUCGGGUACUGAGAUACGGACCCGGGUCCUACGGGAUGCAGCAGGCGCGAAACCUCCGCAAUGCACGCAAGUGUGACGGGGGGAUUCCAAGUGGCACGGAUCUUUUUCGUGUCUUUUUUUAUCUGUAAACAGGAUGAAGAAUAAGGGCUGGGUAAGACAGGUGCCAGCAGCCGCGGUAAUACCUGCAGCUCAAGUUGUCUGGAUUUUUAUUGGGUCUAAAGCGUUCGUAGCCGGUCUUCUAAGUCCUUUGUGAAAUCUGGCAGCUUAACUGUCAGGCGUGCAGAGGAAACUAGGAGACUUGGGAGCGGGAGGGGCUAUGGGAACUCUAGGGGUAAGGGUGAAAUCUAAUAAUCCUUAGGGGACCACCUAUGGCGAAGGCACAUAGCCAAAACGCAUCCGACGGUGAGGAACGAAAGCCAGGGGAGCAAACGGGAUUAGAUACCCCGGUAGUCCUGGCCGUAAAUGAUGUGAACUAGGUGUUGCGCGUCCUAUUUGGGCAUGCAGUGCCGAAGGGAAGCCGUUAAGUUCACCACCUGGGAAGUACGGUCGCAAGGCUGAAACUUAAAGGAAUUGACGGGGGAGCACAACAAGGGGUGGAGCUUGCGGUUUAAUUGGAUUAUACUCCGGAAAUCUUACCAGGGAAGACAACAAAAUGAAAGCCAGCCUGAAGGGCUUGCUAGAUUCGUUGAGAGGAGGUGCAUGGCCGCCGUCAGUUCGUGCCUUGAGGUGUUCUGUUAAGUCAGACAACGAACAAGACCCGUGCCAUUAGUUGCAACGGACCAGUCCGCUGGUUCGGCACUCUAAUGGGACCGCUGCCGCUAAGGCAGAGGAAGGGGCGGUCAACGGUAGGUCAGUAUGCCCCGAAUUUCCUGGGCUACACGCGAGCUACAAUGGUUGGAACAAUGAGAUGCGACCCCGUAAGGGGGAGCUAAUCUCCAAAUCCAACCCCAGUUCGGAUCGAGGGUUGAAACUCACCCUCGUGAAGCCGGAAUCCCUAGUAAUCGGGUGUCACUAGCGCCCGGUGAAUACGUCCCUGCUCCUUGUACACACCGCCCGUCAAAUCACCUGAAUUGGGUAUGGACGAGGCUCUAUCGUCGUGGUAGAGUCGAAUCUGAACUCAGUAAGGGGGGUUAAGUCGUAACAAGGUA
rnacentral:rRNA from 1 species